GCCGUGAGAGGCGCUAGCGGCAGCGGCGGUAGCGGUAGCGGCGGCAGCUGUGAGGGGGUUCCAGGAAAAUGGUGCUGAUUAAGGAAUUCCGUGUGGUUUUGCCAUGUUCUGUUCAGGAGUAUCAGGUUGGGCAGCUUUACUCUGUUGCAGAAGCUAGUAAGAAUGAGACCGGCGGUGGAGAAGGAAUUGAAGUCUUAAAGAAUGAACCUUAUGAGAAGGAUGGAGAAAAGGGACAGUAUACACACAAAAUUUAUCACCUAAAGAGCAAAGUUCCUGCAUUCAUGAGGAUGAUUGCUCCUGAGGGCUCCUUGGUGUUUCAUGAGAAAGCCUGGAAUGCAUACCCCUACUGUAGAACAAUUGUAACGAAUGAAUAUAUGAAAGAUGAUUUCUUCAUUAAAAUUGAAACAUGGCACAAACCAGACUUGGGAACACUAGAAAAUGUACACGGUUUAGAUCCAAACACGUGGAAAACUGCUGAAAUUGUCCACAUAGAUAUUGCAGAUCGAAGUCAAGUUGAACCAGCAGACUACAAAGCUGAUGAAGACCCAGCAUUACUCCAGUCAGUCAAGACCAAGAGAGGCCCUUUGGGACCCAACUGGAAGGAGCUAGCAAACAGCCCUGACUGUCCUCAGAUGUGUGCCUAUAAGCUGGUGACCAUCAAAUUCAAGUGGUGGGGACUGCAGAGCAAAGUAGAAAACUUCAUUUGGAAGCAGGAAAAAAGGAUAUUUACAAACUUUCAUUGCCAGCUUUUUUGUUGGAUUGACAAGUGGAUUGAUCUGACAAUGGAAGACAUUAGGAGGAUGGAAGAUGAGACCCAGAAAGAAUUAGAAACAAUGCGUAAGAAGGGUUCCGUUUGAGGCACGUCGGCUGCUGAUGUCUAGAUGAGUCCCCUGUAGGGUCAGAGACAAUAUGAAACUGUUUACGUAAUCAAGGUCAAGUGAGGGGAACAAGUGCAGCCAGUGAUGAGUGAAGAAGAAUCUGACCAGUCUCUUACAGUGUUGAAGUUUCCCAGCGUCUGCUUGUGAUGAUAUACACACAUGCACAGGUUCCCAGCCACGUGUGUGUACAUGUGUGUACGUCUGUAGCUGUAUAUAAAACGCAUGUAGAGCUACAGAUCCAGAUACACGUUUGUGUAUAUAUGUACAUACAAACAUACUGAAGGGAUUAGUACAAUUUCUCCAAAGUACUGUACCUAUCUUCAGCAAGAAUGCAAAAGAAAAUAUUUUCAAUAUAUAUACCUGGAACAGAUUUGAAUAAGUAUCAGAGUAAUACCAUUAAUGGAAAAAUUUGACUGCAUUGUAAUACUAGCUGGUAUGUUUCAUAAAUGUCAAACUGUGGACC